rnacentral:rRNA from 1 species
AACGAACGCUGGCGGCAGGCCUAACACAUGCAAGUCGAACGCUGUAGCAAUACAGAGUGGCAGACGGGUGAGUAACGCGUGGGAACAUACCCUUUGGUUCGGAAUAACUCAGGGAAACUUGAGCUAAUACCGGAUAAGUGCGAAAGCAGAAAGAUUCAUCGCCGAAGGAUUGGCCCGCGUUCGAUUAGCUUGUUGGUGAGGUAACGGCUCACCAAGGCGACGAUCGANAGCUGGUCUGAGAGGAUGAUCAGCCACAUUGGGACUGAGACACGGCCCAAACUCCUACGGGAGGCAGCAGUGGGGAAUAUUGGACAAUGGGCGAAAGCCUGAUCCAGCCAUGCCGCGUGAGUGAUGAAGGCCCUAGGGUUGUAAAGCUCUUUCGUCAGGGACGAUAAUGACGGUACCUGAAGAAGAAGCCCCGGCUAACUUCGUGCCAGCAGCCGCA